GUUGACGUUACCCACAGAAGAAGCACUGGCUAACUCUGUGCAGCAGCCGCGGUAAUACAGAGAGUGCAAGCGUUAAUCGGAAUCACUGGGCGUAAAGCGCGCGUAGGUGGAUAUUUAAGUCGGAUGUGAAAGCCCUAGGCUUAACCUGGGAAUUACAUCCGAUACUAGGUAUCUCGAGUAUGAUAGAGGGAAGUGGAAUUUCCGGUGUAGCGGUGAAAUGCGUAGAUAUCGGAAAGAACAUCAGUGGCGAAGGCGGCUUCCUGGAGCAAUACUGACACUGAGGCGCGAAAGCGUGGGGAGCAAACAGGAUUAGAGACCCUGGUAGUCCACGCCGUCAACGAUGAGAACUAGCUGUUGGAAAGUUUACUUUCUAGUAGCAAAGCUAACGCGUUAAGUUCUCCGCCUGGGGAGUACGGCCGCAAGGUUAAAACUCAAAGAAAUUGACGGGGGCCCGCACAAGCGGUGGAGCAUGUGGUUUAAUUCGAUGCAACACGAAAAACCUUACCUAC
rnacentral:rRNA from 1 species